rnacentral:rRNA from 1 species
CCUACGGGAGGCUGCAGUGGGGAAUAUUGCACAAUGGGGGAAACCCUGAUGCAGCGACGCCGCGUGAGUGAAGAAGUAUUUCGGUACGUAAAGCUCUAUCAGCAGGGAAGAAAAUGACGGUACCUGACUAAGAAGCCCCGGCUAACUACGUGCCAGCAGCCGCGGUAAUACGUAGGGGGCACGCGUUAUCCAGAUUUACUGGGUGUAAAGGGAGCGUAGACGGCAGCGCAAGUCUGGAGGGAAAUCCCAUGGCUUAACCAUGGAACUGCUUUGGAAACUGUGCAGCUAGAGUGCAGGAGAGGUAAGCGGAAUUCCUAGUGUAGCGGUGAAAUGCGUAGAUAUUAGGAGGAACCCCAGUGGCGAAGGCGGCUUACUGGACUGUAACUGACGUUGAGGCUCGAAAGCGUGGGGAGCAAACAGGAUUAGAUACCCCUGUAGUC